rnacentral:rRNA from 1 species
GACGAACGCUGGCGGCGUGCUUAACACAUGCAAGUCGAACGGACAGGCCCUGCUUUUGUGGGGUUCUCGAGUGGCGAACGGGUGAGUAACACGUGAGUAACCUGCCCUUGACUUUGGGAUAACUUCAGGAAACUGGGGCUAAUACCGGAUAGGAGCUCCUGCUGCAUGGUGGGGGUUGGAAAGUUUCGGCGGUUGGGGAUGGACUCGCGGCUUAUCAGCUUGUUGGUGGGGUAGUGGCUUACCAAGGCUUUGACGGGUAGCCGGCCUGAGAGGGUGACCGGCCACAUUGGGACUGAGAGACGGCCCAGAAUCCUACGGGAGGCAGCAGUGGGGAAUAUUGCACAAUGGGCGGAAGCCUGAUGCAGCAACGCCGCGUGCGGGAUGACGGCCUUCGGGUUGUAAACCGCUUUCGCCUGUGACGAAGAGUGAGUGACGGUAAUGGGUAAAGAAGCACCGGCUAACUACGUG